rnacentral:lncRNA from 1 species
AAAGCAAACGUCUGUGGAAGCGGAUGAGAAUGGAGGAAAUACAACCUGUUGCUUCCUGAGCAUAUUCUUCCAUCCACAAACGUGCUGUGGCUUGGGGCUUCCUGCAGAUGUUACUGAUAUGAAAGCUGCAACUGAAAAGUAAGCUCCAGGUGCUGCCUGCAGGUGAUAACAUUAAGGAUCGAAAUGAACUUCGGAAACCCAUUUACAAUAUCUUGGCCAGAGAAGGAUAACCAUGAAAAUAUUGAAUACAGCUGGACCUAGAAAAACUCCUUUGUAACUCCAGAGGAAAAGGACAUCUAGAAUUAAAUCUGAAGGAAAGCUUGUG